GAAAUAAUUUAAUUAAAGCUUCUAACUUUAUAUCCUAAUAUUUAAAAAAUAUUAUUAUUUCA
rnacentral:tRNA from 2 species